GCUAGCGUAGCUUAACUAAAGCAUAACACUGAAGAUGUUAAGAUGAGCCCUAAACAGCUCCGCAGGCA
rnacentral:tRNA from 5 species